GCGAGAGUAGCUAAGCCUGGUCAACGGCGGCGGACUCAAGAUCCGCUCGUUUAGGCGUUCGUGGGUUCGAAUCCCACCUCUCGCACCA
rnacentral:tRNA from 1 species